AGCUAGUUGCUGGGUAAAGGGCCUACCAAGGCGACGAUCGGUAGCUGGUCUGAGAGGAUGAUCAGCCACACUGGGACUGAGACACCGGCCCAGACUCCUACGGGAGGCAGCAGUGGGGAAUAUUGGACAAUGGGGGCAACCCUGAUCCAGCAAUGCCGCGUGUGUGAAGAAGGCCUGAGGGUUGUAAAGCACUUUCAGUGGGGAGGAGGUUAUAUUUGUUAAUAGCAGAGAUAAUGGACGUUACCCACAGAAGAAGCACCGGCUAACUCCGUGCCAGCAGCCGCGGUAAUACGGAGGGUGCGAGCGUUAAUCGGAAUUACUGGGCGUAAAGGGUGCGUAGGUGGUUUAAUAAGUUAGUUGUGAAAGACCGGGGCUUAACCUUGGGGUGUCAACUAAGACUGUUAGACUCGAGUAUGGGAGAGGGUAGUGGAAUUUCCGGUGUAGCGGUGAAAUGCGUAGAGAUCGGAAGGAACACCAGUGGCGAAGGCGGCUACCUGGCCUAAUACUGACACUGAGGCACGAAAGCGUGGGGAGCAAACAGGAUUAGAUACCCUGGUAGUCCACGCCGUAAACGAUG
rnacentral:rRNA from 1 species